rnacentral:rRNA from 1 species
GAUGAACGCUGGCGGCGUGCCUAGUACAUGCCAGUCGAGCGAACGGACGAGAAGCUUGCUUCUCUGAUGCUAGCGGCGGACGGGUGAGUAACACGUGGAUAACCUACCUAUAAGACUGGGAUAACUUCGGGAAACCGGAGCUAAUACCGGAUAAUAUUUUGAACCGCAUGGUUCAAAAGUGAAAGACGGUCUUGCUGUCACUUAUAGAUGGAUCCGCGCUGCAUUAGCUAGUUGGUAAGGUAACGGCUUACCAAGGCAACGAUGCAUAGCCGACCUGAGAGGGUGAUCGGCCACACUGGAACUGAGACACGGUCCAGACUCCUACGGGAGGCAGCAGUAGGGAAUCUUCCGCAAUGGGCGAAAGCCUGACGGAGCAACGCCGCGUGAGUGAUGAAGGUCUUCGGAUCGUAAAACUCUGUUAUUAGGGAAGAACAUAUGUGUAAGUAACUGUGCACAUCUUGACGGUACCUAAUCAGAAAGCCACGGCUAACUACGUG